UUUCCUACGGGCGGCAGCAGUGGGGAAUAUUGGACAAUGGGCGCAAGCCUGAUCCAGCCAUGCCGCGUGAGUGAUGAAGGCCCUAGGGUUGUAAAGCUCUUUCACCGAUGAAGAUAAUGACGGUAGUCGGAGAAGAAGCCCCGGCUAACUUCGUGCCAGCAGCCGCGGUAAUACGAAGGGGGCUAGCGUUGUUCGGAAUUACUGGGCGUAAAGCGCACGUAGGCGGAUAUUUAAGUCAGGGGUGAAAUCCCAGAGCUCAACUCUGGAACUGCCUUUGAUACUGGGUAUCUCGAGUAUGGAAGAGGUGAGUGGAAUUCCGAGUGUAGAGGUGAAAUUCGUAGAUAUUCGGAGGAACACCAGUGGCGAAGGCGGCUCACUGGUCCAUUACUGACGCUGAGGUGCGAAAGCGUGGGGAGCAAACAGGAUUAGAUACCCCUGUAGUCCC
rnacentral:rRNA from 1 species